CGUCUAUAUACGUAUAGCAUAUCAAUAAGCGGAGGAAAAGAAACUAACAAGGAUUCCCUUAGUAACGGCGAGUGAAGCGGGAAGAGCUCAAAUUUGAAAUCUUCAAGGUACUACCUUGACGAAUUGUAGUUUAAAGAAGUGUUUUCUGUUAGAGGAGUAGCAAAAGUUCCUUGGAAUGGGAUAUCAUAGAGGGUGAGAAUCCCGUAUUUGGUUAUUCUUUCUAGCUUUGUGAUACACUUUCAAAGAGUCGGAUUGUUUGGGAAUGCAGUCCAAAAUGGGUGGUAAAUUUCAUCUAAAGCUAAAUAUUGGCGAAAGACCGAUAGCGAACAAGUACCGUGAGGGAAAGAUGAAAAGAACUUUGAAAAGAGAGUUAAACAGUACGUGAAAUUGUCAAAAGGGAAGCGUUUGACACCAGUGUUGUUUUUCCGAAAAUCAAUUAAGAGUGGCUUGAUUUUGUGUUGUAUUGACCUUAUCAGCUUUCUUCACUCUUUUUCGAGUCUUUCUUAAUGCACUUUUCGGUUAACAAGUCAACAUCAAUUUCUUUUGUUGUAAAAGGGUAUUUGGAAGGUGGCUUUCUUUUCGGAGAAAGUGUUUAUAGCCUUAUACCUCUACAAUCGGAGAGAUUGAGGUCUGCAGCGUAGAUCCUUCGGGGCUAGAUACACUUGUGCUAAGUUAUAGCUUUUCAUAGACAACUUGUUGACUAUGUUUAGUCAUGUAGCUUACCCGCUUGUGCUAUUUUACCUACGCUUAGGAUGUUGAGUCAUCACACAUCUCU
rnacentral:rRNA from 1 species